GCUAGUGUAGAUUCCGAGACAAGCUGGUGACUUUCAUCUGACAGAAAGUGUGCAAAAUUUUUGAGGGAUCAAAAGCAGCCAACUCAAGAAUUGAUGGGUUGGACUGGUUUUCACUCUCAAAAGAAGAGCAUACAGUUACCUACCAGCAAAAGUUCAGGGAUUGGCUGUGACCAAUUCAAGACAUGAUAACACAUCCUAUGAAUCAUCUGAGCUGUCUUGAUAUCUGUGGAAGAAAGAAAGUUGGGCAACACAUCAAAAUAAAUUCAAGUUAUGGAUCGUUAGAAAUGAAA